rnacentral:lncRNA from 10 species
CUCACUGACGAGGGCAAGGGAGGAGGGUGAAUCACACGCUGGAGUUUUCCACCAAGUACCUGCCCUCUGUGGCUUCUAGGCAAGGCCCUGGACCUUCACAACCCUUCUCCUUGGGAUUUUCCUAGAGAAAGCACCCAGAGCGUACCUCAAGAAGCAAUGUAGAGAGGACCCAGGAUUGGGACCAGACAGACCUGAGUUUCUUCUCCUCCUCUAUCAUGUAUCAGUCACGACAGCUAGGCAAGGGUCAGCCUUGGUUUCCCAGUCUGUCAAAGGUGUGGCCUCCAGACAAGAGAGGGCUCCCUUCCUUUUGGGUCUUCUUCUCUGGGAACUCUAAGAUAUAGCGCCCACCCCUCCAGGCUAGGGAAGCAGGUCACUGACUCGGCUGCCCUACACCCCCCCAUCCCCACCCCCACCCCCGUCGCUUCAGCCCCUCUGGCUAAGGCCGAGGUACUCCUUCCUUCCUUCCCUCAACCCUGACCCCGACCCAAGCCAGCAGCAUUCUCAUCUCUCUGCCUGCCAGUCCCACCUGCGCUGUUAGAGCCUCACCCCCUCAGCCACCUCCCUCCAGUUUGAUGACCUCACACCACGUGUCACCAAGUGACGGAAAGGACCCUCACACCCAUUACCUCCUUUGAGCCCUACGACAAGCCCUGCUUGGAGAAGGAGUGCGUGGCGUUUUCUGCAACUGCGAAGCAAAGAACCUGAAUUCCAAGUGACUGCACAGACACGCAGCAAGUUCUGGAAGCACACCUCCGGGUUCUUACACCAAUAGGUGACUCUCACACCGUGUUCCACCAUCAGGAAGCUCCUCGAUGCGACUCAGAUCACAUCUGGGUCCCACAUUCCCGCUGAGGCCGGCAGUUCCGGCAACUUUGGUCAUACGGAUGGAGACAGCACGGCACCACGCGGGAGGUGUUCUGUCAACAGUGUCCGGUGGAUGGAGCUGCUGGCUUGCAGCAUCUCGAGUUCGGGCCUGCCUCUCCAGCAGAUGUAUUUCUCCCCCGGUAAGACUGAGAUUGAGCCCAGCACCCUCGGGGAAUGCCCGAGCAGCAUUCUCCAGGAAGGGGCAGCCAAGGCUGACAUACAGCAGGACUGCUGUCGUUAAUCUUCACCAACUCUUCCAACGACAAAAAGUCAAAAACUGAAGACAAGCAAAUAUUUCAGUGCAUUUUUUUCCACUAGUGGACAUGUGAAAAACUAAGAUCACCCAGGGAAGCCUGUGCACCCUUAGACUGCAGCCCUAAGAGUCACAGGACACACCAAGGGCAGCACCAGAAGACCCAUCUGAACAAAGCACAAAGGCGGAGGAAGGAAGCUGAGGACAUGUGGAGAGAGGCUGGGCAGCCUCCUCUGGUCCACAUGCCUGAUGAUGGAGGCUCUCAGCCUGGCCCCACCACCCGCCCCCAUCACCGUGCUGAGUGGGCCCCAGUGAGAACUCAAUGGGGGAGGCUAGGAUGGGGAGGGGCAGGGUCCUAAACCACAACAGUAACAUGGGGAAGGGUGAAGGCAGCCAGGCAGGGGGCAGAAAUCAGACAGAACCGCUAGCAGUCAGCGGGAAG